rnacentral:rRNA from 1 species
AAGGUAGCGAAAUUCCUUGUCGGGUAAGUUCCGACCUGCACGAAUGGCGUAACGAUGGCCACACUGUCUCCACCAUAGACUCAGUGAAAUUGAAAUCGCUGUUAAGAUGCAGUGUACCCGCAGCUAGACGGAAAGACCCCGUGCACCUUUACUAUAGGUUCGCACUGGACUUUGACCUUACUUGUGUAGGAUAGGUGGGAGACUUUGAAGCAGAGACGCCAGUCUUUGUGGAGUCAUCCUUGAAAUACCACCCUUGUAAGAUUGAAGUUCUAACCUAGGUCCAUUAUCUGGAUCAGGGACAGUGCGUGCUGGGUAGUUUGACUGGGGCGGUCUCCUCCUAAAGAGUAACGGAGGAGUACGAAGGUAUCCUUAUCACGGUCGGACAUCGUGAGGUAAGUAUAAAGGCAGAAGGAUGCUUGACUGCGAGAUCGACGGAUCGAGCAGGUAGGAAACUAGGUCUUAGUGAUCCGGUGGUUCUGAAUGGAAGGGCCAUCGCUCAACGGAUAAAAGGUACGCCGGGGAUAACAGGCUGAUACCGCCCAAGAGUUCAUAUCGACGGCGGUGUUUGGCACCUCGAUGUCGGCUCAUCACAUCCUGGGGCUGGAGCAGGUCCCAAGGGUAUGGCUGUUCGCCAUUUAAAGUGGUACGCGAGCUGGGUUUAGAACGUCGUGAGACAGUUCGGUCCCUAUCUGCUGUGGGCGUUUGGAGAUUUGAGGGAAGCUGAUUCUAGUACGAGAGGACCGAAUUGGACGAACCUCUGGUGUUCCGGUUGUCACGCCAGUGGCAUUGCCGGGUAGCUAUGUUCGGAAAGGAUAACCGCUGAAAGCAUAUAAGCGGGAAGCCUCUCCCAAGAUUAAAUCUCCCAGAGACUUUAUGUCUCCUAAAGAGUCGUCAUAGACUAUGACGUUGAUAGGCAAGAUGUGUAAGCGCUGCGAGGCGUUGAGCUAACUUGUACUAAUAACUCGUGAGGCUUGAUCAU